UUUGAGGGGAAUGUUGUCUGGCUCGGGGGCGCCGCUCUUUCUCUGACCUGCCCCUUUCUCCUCUAUCUCGCUCUUGGAGAUCAAGAGGAGAAGGGCAGGAUUGAGAGGAGAUGGGUGUGGAUCUCGGACCAGGCUUCAUUCCCCCCAAA
rnacentral:pre_miRNA from 1 species